CCGGUACAAGCGGGGUAGGAGUAAGGACAGCAAAUCUUCCUUACAAUCCGAAGACGUAAUGUGGACCGAACCAAAGUAGGGAAGCGUGUGAGCCAUGUGCCAAGAAAAGCCGCUAUAGUGAUACACAUACCCGUACCGUAAACCGACACAGGUGGAUGAGGAGAGAAUCCUAAGGCCGACGGAAGAAGCAUUGUUAAGGAACUCGGCAAAAUGACCCCGUAACUUCGGGAGAAGGGGUGCCCUGUGAAAGCAGGGCCGCAGAGAAUAGGCUCAAGCAACUGUUUAGCAAAAACACAGGUCUAUGCGAAACCGAAAGGUGAGGUAUAUGGGCUGACGCCUGCCCGGUGCUGGAAGGUUAAGAGGAGAAGUCAGGCAACGAAGCUUCGAAUUUAAGCCCCAGUAAACGGCGGCCGUAACUAUAACGGUCCUAAGGUAGCGAAAUUCCUUGUCGGGUAAGUUCCGACCCGCACGAAAGGCGUAAUGAUUUGAGCACUGUCUCGACAAUGCAUCCGGUGAAAUUGAAGUACCAGUGAAGAUGCUGGUUACCUGCGCCAGGACGGAAAGACCCCAUGGAGCUUUACUCCAGCUUGAUACUGGGAUUCGAUACUGUAUGUACAGGAUAGGUGGGAGACGUUGAGCAUAGAACGCCAGUUUUAUGUGAGUCGCUGUUGGGAUACCACCCUUGCAGUAUUGGAUUUCUAACCUGCACCCAUGACCUGGGUGGGGGACAAUGUCUGGCGGGGAGUUUGACUGGGGCGGUCGCCUCCGAAAGGGUAUCGGAGGCGCUCAAAGGUUCCCUCAGAAUGGUUGGAAACCAUUCGAAGAGUGCAAAGGCAGAAGGGAGCUUGACUGUGACACCGACGGGUGGAACAGGUACGAAAGUAGGACUUAGUGAUCCGGUGGUAUAAAGUGGGAUUGCCAUCGCUCAACGGAUAAAAGCUACCCUGGGGAUAACAGGCUUAUCACUCCCAAGAGUUCACAUCGACGGAGUGGUUUGGCACCUCGAUGUCGGCUCAUCGCAUCCUGGGGCUGUAGCAGGUCCCAAGGGUUGGGCUGUUCGCCCAUUAAAGCGGUACGCGAGCUGGGUUCAGAACGUCGUGAGACAGUUCGGUCCCUAUCCGGCGCAGGCGGAGGAUAUUUGAGAGGAGCUGUCCUUAGUACGAGAGGACCGGGAUGGACGGACCACUGGUGUAUCUGUUGGCUAUCAG
rnacentral:rRNA from 1 species